rnacentral:rRNA from 1 species
UACCAGCACCCCGAGUGGUCGGGACGAUUAUUGGGCCUAAAGCAUCCGUAGCCGGUUCUGCAAGUCCCCCGUUAAAUCCAGCUGCUCAACAGAUGGGCCGCGGAGGAUACUACAGAGCUAGGAGGCAGGAGAGGCAAGCGGUACUCAGUGGGUAGGGGUAAAAAUCCGUUGAUCCAUUGAAGACCACCAGUGGCGAAGGCGGCUUGCCAGAACGCGCUCGACGGUGAGGGAUGAAAGCUGGGGGAGCAAACGG